rnacentral:rRNA from 1 species
AGAGUUUGAUCCUGGCUCAGGAUGAACGCUAGCUACAGGCUUAACACAUGCAAGUCGAGGGGCAGCAUUCUUCUAGCAAUAGAAAAGAUGGCGACCGGCGCACGGGUGAGUAACACGUAUACAACCUGCCGAUAACUCCGGAAUAGCCUUUCGAAAGAAAGAUUAAUACCGGAUAGCAUACGAAUAUCGCAUGAUAUUUUUAUUAAAGAAUUUCGGUUAUCGAUGGGGAUGCGUUCCAUUAGUUUGUUGGCGGGGUAACGGCCCACCAAGACUACGAUGGAUAGGGGUUCUGAGAGGAAGGUCCCCCACAUUGGAACUGAGACACGGUCCAAACUCCUACGGGAGGCAGCAGUGAGGAAUAUUGGUCAAUGGGCGAGAGCCUGAACCAGCCAAGUAGCGUGAAGGAUGAAGGCUCUAUGGGUCGUAAACUUCUUUUAUAUGGAAAUAAAGUUUUCCACGUGUGGAAUUUUGUAUGUACCAUAUGAAUAAGGAUCGGCUAACUCCGUGCCAGCAGCCGCGGUAAUACGGAGGAUCCGAGCGUUAUCCGGAUUUAUUGGGUUUAAAGGGAGCGUAGGUGGAUUGUUAAGUCAGUUGUGAAAGUUUGCGGCUCAACCGUAAAAUUGCAGUUGAAACUGGCAGUCUUGAGUACAGUAGAGGUGGGCGGAAUUCGUGGUGUAGCGGUGAAAUGCUUAGAUAUCACGAAGAACUCCGAUUGCGAAGGCAGCUCACUAGACUGGUCACUGACACUGAGGCUCGAAAGUGUGGGUAUCAAACAGGAUUAGAUACCCUGGUAGUCCACACAGUAAACGAUGAAUACUCGCUUGUUUUGCGAUAUACAGCAAGCGGCCAAGCGAAAGCAUUAAGUAUUCCACCUGGGGAGUACGCCGGCAACGGUGAAACUCAAAGGAAUUGACGGGGGCCCGCACAAGCGGAGGAACAUGUGGUUUAAUUCGAUGAUACGCGAGGAACCUUACCCGGGCUUAAAUUGCAUUUGAAUAAGCUGGAAACAGUUUAGCCGCAAGGCAAAUGUGAAGGUGCUGCAUGGUUGUCGUCAGCUCGUGCCGUGAGGUGUCGGCUUAAGUGCCAUAACGAGCGCAACCCUUAUCUUUAGUUACUAACAGGUCAUGCUGAGGACUCUGGAGAGACUGCCGUCGUAAGAUGUGAGGAAGGUGGGGAUGACGUCAAAUCAGCACGGCCCUUACGUCCGGGGCUACACACGUGUUACAAUGGGGGGUACAGAAGGCAGCUACCGGGCGACCGGAUGCUAAUCCCAAAAACCUCUCUCAGUUCGGAUCGAAGUCUGCAACCCGACUUCGUGAAGCUGGAUUCGCUAGUAAUCGCGCAUCAGCCAUGGCGCGGUGAAUACGUUCCCGGGCCUUGCACACACCGCCCGUCA